rnacentral:lncRNA from 1 species
CACAGAGAAAACCCAAAAGAAACUAAUGACAAAUUGUUAAACAUAGUAAUACAUUCAGCAAGUUUAAAUGUAUGAAAAUCAAUUGCAUUCCUCUACAUCAGCAAUAGUUAUACAAUAUAAUUUUUAAAGUAACAUUUAAAAACAAAAAUAAGGUAUCAAAAAUUUACCAAUAGUUGUGCAGACUUUAAGAAAAAUUUAUAAGCCUUUAUUGAUACUUUAAAAGAGACCUACUAAUAUAUCAUGUAUGUGGAUACAAAUACUCGGAACAUAAAGAUAUCAAUUUUCCUUCAAAUUCAUCACAAUUCCAGAUUCCACCAAGUUUUUGUUUUGUUUUGUGGACUUUAACAAAGAAGGAGUCAUUAGAAUCCUUCCAAAGAAAUGAGAGAACAUAGGGCAAAAAUAACCAGGUCACUCUUGAAGAAAAACUACAAAGUGGGACCUCAUCCUGAUAUUAAGACUUAAUAAUAAAAAUAUUAUAAUUACAAUAGUGUGGUAUUAGCAAAAGAAUAGGGAAAAGAGAACAGUGGAAGGAACAAAGAAUCCAGAAACAGAUCCAGGCCCGUAUGGAAACUUGAGAUUUAACAUCAGUGGCAUUGCAGAUCAGUAGGGAAAGAUAAACCAUUUAAUAAAUACUGCUGAGAUGAUGGGUAUCUAUACAGAGGGAAAAAUAAAAUUGGAUUUCUACCUCACAUGAUGUACAAAAUCUGCCUCAAGUAAAGACCAACAUAUACAAAGUAAAAUCUUCAAACUUUUGGAAUAAAGUAUAGAAGAAUAUUUUUGUGCUUUCAGAGUUGGGAAAGAUUUUGAUAUCAAUAAAUAGAAAAUGAAACCUUUAAGGAAAAGAUUAUGAAUCAAUUAGACCACAUUAACAUUUAAAAUGUCUGUGCAUCUAAAGACACCAUUUUAAAAAGUGAGAGAAGACAAACCACUAACUAGAGAAGACAUUUGCAAUGCAUAUUGGCAACAAAUAUUUAGCAUAGAGUAUGUGUACAUAUAUAUAAAAUGUCUACAAAUCCCUACCAAAAAAUCAAAUAGCAAUUAACAUGAACACACAUGAAAAUGCUCAAUCUCACUAGUAAUAGAAUAAUUGUAAAUAAAAAUAGGCCAGGCGCAGUGGCUCACGCCUGUAAUCCCAGCACUUUUGGAGGCCAAGGCGGGCGGAUCACGAGGUCAGGAGAUCGAGACCAUCCUGGCCAACAUGGUGAAACCCCAUCUCUACUAAAAAUACAAAAAUUAGCUGGGCAUGGUGGUGCACGCCUGUAAUCCCAGCUACUCGGAAGGUGAGGCAGGAUAAUCGCUUGAACCCGGGAGGCGGAGGUUUCAGUGAGCCGAGAUCACGCUACUGCACUCCAGCCUGGCGACAGAUUGAGACUCCGCCUCAAAACAAAACAAACAGUUUGUCAGUUUAUGCGUCCAAGUUUAUGCAUCCAAGUGCAGUUUAAGAUUUUUUUUUCCUUUUUGAGAUGGAGUCUUGCUCUGUCACCUAGGCUGGAGUGCAGUACAACCAUCUUGGCUUGCUGCAACCUCUACUUCCUGGGUUCAAGCAAUUUUCC